UACGUAGGGGGCUAGCGUUGUCCGGAUUUAUUGGGCGUAAAGAGCGUGUAGGCGGCCAGGUAGGUCUGCUGUGAAAACUCGAGGCUCAACCUCGAGACGUCGGCGGAAACCAUCUGGCUAGAGUCCGGAAGAGGAGAGUGGAAUUCCUAGUGUAGAGGUGAAAUUCGUAGAUAUUAGGAAGAACACCAGUGGCGAAGGCGGCUCACUGGCCCGGUACUGACGCUGAGGCGCGAAAGCGUGGGGAGCAAACAGG
rnacentral:rRNA from 1 species